UAGGGAAUCUUCCACAAUGGACGCAAGUCUGAUGGAGCAACGCCGCGUGAGUGAAGAAGGUUUUCGGAUCGUAAAGCUCUGUUGUUGGUGAAGAAGGAUAGAGGUAGUAACUGGCCUUUAUUUGACGGUAAUCAACCAGAAAGUCACGGCUAACUACGUGCCAGCAGCCGCGGUAAUACGUAGGUGGCAAGCGUUGUCCGGAUUUAUUGGGCGUAAAGCGAGCGCAGGCGGAAGAAUAAGUCUGAUGUGAAAGCCCUCGGCUUAACCGAGGAACUGCAUCGGAAACUGUUUUUCUUGAGUGAAGAAGAGGGGAGUGGAAUUCCAUGUGUAGCGGUGGAAUGCGUAGAUAUAUGGAAGAACACCAGUGGCGAAGGCGACUCUCUGGUCUGCAACUGACGCUGAGGCUCGAAAGCAUGGGUAGCGAACAGG
rnacentral:rRNA from 1 species